rnacentral:lncRNA from 1 species
GUUCUUUCUCUUUCUGUUUUCUAGGAACAAGAGGAUUCAUCUGACUCAACUGGAGAUGGCUCCCUUCCCUAAUUUAUUUUUCCUUUCCUAAGGCUUCUCAGUGGAAGCAGCUAGAAGCACAGGGGGAUGGAUACAGACUCACAAAGGCAGCGUUGCCUGGCCACUGAGCCCGAAGCAAAGACAAGCCCCAACUCUCUCUGGUCCUUCAACCAGGCUUUGCAGAACCUGGAAAGGAAAUCAAUUCCAAAGGCAGGAAAUGACCCAAAGACCAUAACAAUAUGCGAAAAAAAUGAAGCCUGUGCUUCCGCUGCUUUGUUUCAAACUAUUCUAAUCUGUGUCCCAGGAAGCCUAACCCAGUGCCAGAUGGAGAUCUCUUUUCAGACGCCUCUUGGCAUCUGCCACCCCCGGCUGGUGACAUUUGCACAUUUCAGAAGGCAAACCUGUCCCCACAUCUUCAAACUUUCAGAGAGGUAUAGCCCCAGGAAAGUCCCUGGGUCCCUGGCUGACAGCACCGACCAUCUGAUUUGCUUCAUCUGCAGCCGAACUGCUGCUGGACCGCAGCCUAGAACGCUAGCACACCAAAUCUGUUCUUGAAAAUCUGCAGAAUCUGAAAUCAAAGUGCCUCAUGCUGCCAGAAAAGCUGGCUUCCUCGCCUGCUUCAUAAUCCUUUCUCAUCAGGCGUUCCUAAAGAAACCUGAUGAGUCAGGAAGGAAGAAAAACGUGUCUGAGGGAGAUCUCGGGGUGGGCUGGUCUCUCUCGUGGCUUCUGAAAAUCCCCUCUUGUUUUGCCAUGCUGGUAACACCUAGGGAUUUGGUUUUACUUUUUCUGUUUCUUCCUCUGUCAGCUCUCACUCUUGAGAGACCGUUCAUUUACCACUCAUGUAAGUAGCUCUUGCAAAAGCAGGAGGCCCUCUCAUGGGGAGGUAGUCAUGGUUGCAGAGAAGUUUAGAAUUUACUUUUAUCCACAGGAGCAGGGCAAAAAAUCCAAACCAAAACAAACAAAUCCCCGAACCAAGAAAACAAAACUCUGACUCCUACUUCCAGAAGAAACUGUCACUCACUGCUUUGUUCUGGCCCUGGGGCCGGUGUGUUUCCCAGGGUUUUAAUUUUUACUGAAUACCAGCCAUCAGCCUUCCCACUGAAGUCUGUGUGCCAGUUGGCGUCUAAACACAGUGAGGUGGCUUCUGGGAUAUCAGCUCCAAAUAGGUAUCCAGCUAAUCCCCCCAGGUCAUUGGAAAGUAGCUGUAGUUGCAAAACUAAUGUGCCUGACUAUCAAGACUUUCAAAAUGUGAAACAGGUUAAAGUAGAAAGAAUCCAGUAUAUCUGUUGAUGUCUGACUUAUAGAAAAGUCUCAGCAAGCAAGACAGGAGAGGUUCAAUAUCA